rnacentral:RNase_P_RNA from 1 species
ACCGCAGGCCGCCUUAUCGAACUAGCUUAGGCUAGUUAGGAAAGUCCGGACACCAAAGGGAAGCAUAGCGGCUAACAGCCGUCGUUCCGACCACCAUCGGAAUAGGACUAGUGCAACAGAAAGUAUGUACAGGUAAUGCUGUAGUGAAACCAGGUAAACUCUAUGCGGUGCAAUGCCAUGUAUACUCAGGCUUGAGGGUUCCCGCCCAAUCUGAGAGGGUAGGCAGAUAGAACGUUUUGGUAACAAAUCGUCCAGAUAAAUGAUAAGGCUCUAAUACUAAUUGGAGACAGAAUCCGGCUUAUAGGCCUGCAUUUUUU